CAGCGCUGCCUGGCUGCAUGUUUGAGCUGCAUCUGGGGAAGCUGCGGUGACAUUGAUGGAGAGCGUUUGCUUUUGUAGCCAAUCUGAUGACUUGCAUUGCUCUUCUUAGCUGUAGCCAGUGGUUCAUAUCUGGCUCUGAGGGCAACGAUGAAACACUUUCAGUCAUGGCCUGCUGGGUUUUCUACAGCAGUUCCAAACAUUCCUGUCAAUACAGUAUUUCAUACUGGAUGAGCAAACUGCUAUGAAAUCAACAACAACAAAAAAACAACUGACCAACUUGCAACACCUCAGAUGUCUGGCAGACUUAUCGUGGAUCCUGUGUGUUCAUGCUGAAGGUCUCUUUGAAGCACAGCGCUCUCUUGCCUUUGAUCCUUCCCUGAUGUUUGCAUCCCCCAUUCCUCCACGCAAGAAAAACUACGGUGAAGAAGAAUGUGGUUAAAUUACACUCUCCUUAAAGUGCAAAUCAAUGCUAAUGGAGAGGAAUCAGACCGCCUACAUGUAUCUAUUCUCAUUAGUCUUCCAGUUCUUUGGACACGACACACCAGACAAAAACCAAACUACUUUGCUGAAGUGUGCAAG